rnacentral:antisense_RNA from 1 species
GUGAACUCCCAGGUCAGGUCCUCCUCGACCAGCGCCUCGUCACCGAAGUACUCGCCGUCGGCGAGUACGCCGAGUUCCCGCUCGUCGCCGUACUCUCCGAGGCCGAACCUGCCGACCUUACCGUGCGCGAUCAGGAACACCUGGUCGGCGGCCUGACCGCUCUCCACCAGCACGUCUCCGGCAGCGAAUUCCCGUUGGGCGAAGCGGUCCGCGAGCGCAUCGAGCACCUCGCCGUCGAAGCCCCGCAGGGCGGGCAGCUCGCCGAGUUCGCGCGGAACGACCCGGACCUCGGAUCCGGUGGUCGUGAACGUGAGGAGUCCGUCCCCGAGUACGUAGGUCAGACGGCGGUUGACCCGGUACACGCCGCCGGACGCCUGGACCCAUGGCAGUAUCCGCAGCAGCCACCGGGAGGUGAUCUCCUGCAUCUGCGGAACGGACUUGGUGGUCGUCGCGAGAUUGCGCGCGGCCGCCGUGCUCAGACUCAGCCGGGGCUCUUCGC